rnacentral:lncRNA from 1 species
GGAAAUUGAGGCUCUGAACAGUUGGUAAUUUAGGUAAUGGACCUGGAAUCAGGUCCAUGAUUCAGCACUGUGUUUACCCUGCUACAGCCCCAUCACAUCAGUCUCCAGAGAACAGGGAUGUUGUCCUCACCUGGGGUCUCCUGGAAUGAGCUCCUCACCUGAUCCCAGAAGUGACUUGCAUGACUUGCACACAGGAGCAAGUCCAGACAUCCCACAGGCGCAGGCCAUGAAGAGAACACGGUCACAGAACGUGAGGACUUUUUAA